rnacentral:misc_RNA from 1 species
AAGUCGUAACAAGGUUUCCGUAGGUGAACCUGCGGAAGGAUCAUUACCAGAGUGAUUGGUCGAGCGAGAGCCGGCCGGUUACCCGUCCUCAUGUCACGUGUGGGCCCUGCAUGCGGGGCGCGCCUGUCCUCGGUCCGUCGAAAGGCGGGGUGAGGCUGGUGCGUUCCGGGUGUGUGGUCCGUCUUCAUUUCCGUCGAGGUGGUACGCGUCCGUUGCGGAGAGAUCCCGACGGCGACGUGCCCGCGGCGGGCCCAAACUUUUGCAACUCUGAAGCAAGCUGAAGUCUGAAUUUUGUCAAUAGAAAAACCAAAGCAAAACUUUCAACAACGGAUCUCUUGGCUCUG